rnacentral:lncRNA from 1 species
AAACUGCAAGGCGGCAGCGAGGCUGGGGGAGGGGCGCCUGCCAUUGCUGAGGCUUGAGCAGGUAAACAAAGCAUCUGGGAAGCACGAACUGGGUGGAGCCCACCACAGCUCAAUGAGGCCUGCCUGCCUCUGUAGACUCCUCUGAGAACGGACAGACUGCCUCCUCAAGUGGGUCCCUGACCCCCGAGUAGCCUAACUGGGAGGCACCCCCAAGUAGGGGCAGACUGACACCUCACACAGCCAGGUACCCCUCUAAGACGAAACUUCCAGAGGAACGAUCAAACAGCAACAUUUGCUGUUCAGCAAUAUUUGCUGUUCUGCAGCCUCGAAAUGAAGGAAAAAAUGUUAAGGGCAGCCAGAGAGAAAGGUCAGGUUACUCACAAAGGGAAGCCCAUCAGACUAACAGCUGGUCUCUCGGCAGAAACUCUACAAGCCAGAAGAGAGUGGGGGCCAAUAUUCAAAUAUCCAGGAAUUGAACUCAGCUCUGCACCAAGCAGACCUAAUAGACAUCUACAGAACUCUCCACCCCAAGACAAACCUGACAAAAACAAGAAAUGGGGAAAGGAUUCCCUAUAUAAUAAAUGGUGCUGGGAAAACUGGCUAGGCAUAUGUAGAAAGCUGAAACUGGAUCCCUUCCUUACAAAAUUGACAAAUGGGAUCUAAUUGAACUAAAGAGCUCCUUCUGCACAGCAAAAAAACUACCAUCAGAGUGAACAGGCAACCUACAGAAUGGGAGAAAAUUUUUGCAAUCUACUCACCUGACUAAAGGGCUGAUACCCAGAAUCUACAAAGAACUCAAACAAAUUUACAUCGGAAGGACAAAAAACCAAACACUGCAUGUUCUCACUCAUAGGUGGUAAUUGAACAAUGAGAACACAUGCACACAGGAAGGGGAGCAUCGCAGACCAGGGCCUGUUGUGGGGUGGGGGGAGGGAUAGCAUUAGGAGAUAUACCUA